rnacentral:tRNA from 1 species
GCAUUGGUGGUUCAGUGGUAGAAUUCUUGCCUGCAACGCGGGAGGCCAGGGUUCGAUUCCCGGCCAAUGCA